rnacentral:SRP_RNA from 1 species
ACUGGGCAUGAUGCAUGUGCCUGUAGUCCUGGCUACUCAGGAGGCUGAGGUGGGAGAUUGCUGGAGCCCAGGCGUUCUGAGCUGUAGUGUGCAGCGCUAAUCUGAUGUGUACACUGAGUUCAGCAUCAAUAUGGUGACCUGAGAGCUAGGGACCACCAGAUUGCCUAAGAAAGGGUGAGUCAGUCCAACCUGGAAACAGCAGUCAGAACUGUGCUGAUUAGCAGUGGGAGUGUGGCUGUAAGUAGCCACUGCCCUUCAGCCUAGCAACAUAGUCAGACCUGUCUCUU